AUGUUCUCACCAACUUGAGAACGUAGUUUGAUUUGCUGGUUCUUGCCUAGUUUAACUCAAAAUCUCUAUUUUUAUGACAAAUUUAUUGCAUUUUUAACCGCCAACUCGGUUAGAAUAUAAAAGUAUACUAGAAGUUACUAUCGCAAGGAAAAUGCUGCCUCAACCCGCCUUCCAUCACACAAGCAAGUAAAGCACACCCCUAAAGCCGGUUUUCCACUUCAAACGUAUCGUACCGUAACAUUUUUUUGUGUCGAAAUCAUUAGUUCCACUCCUGCGGUCAGGAAACAAAGAAAU